rnacentral:rRNA from 1 species
UAGUGACAAACGGGUGAGUAACACGUGGGUUACCUACCUCUAAGACUGGGAUAACAGUUGGAAACGAUUGCUAAUACCGGAUGUGCUCUACGGAGUAAAGGAGCCUCUAAAGCUUCACUUAGAGAUGGGCCUGCGGUGCAUUAGCUAGUUGGUGGGGUAAUGGCCUACCAAGGCGACGAUGCAUAGCCGAACUGAGAGGUUAAUCGGCCACACUGGGACUGAGACACGGCCCAGACUCCUACGGGAGACAGCAGUUAGGAAUAUUCGUCAAUGGGGGAAACCCUGAACGAGCAAUGCCGCGUGAGUGAUGAAGGCCCUAUGGGUUGUAAAACUCUGUUGUUUGGAAAGAAUUGUACAAGUAGGAAAUGACUUGUGCUUGACGGUACCAUUCAAGAAAGCCACGGCUAACUACGUGCCAGCAGCCGCGGUAAUACGUAGGUGGCGAGCGUUAUCCGGAUUUAUUGGGCGUAAAGCGUCCGCAGCCGGUUUUGUAAGUCUAGAAUAAAAGCCUGGGGCUCAACCCCAGUUCGUUCUAGAAACUGCAAGGCUAGAGUGUGGUAGAGGCAAAUGGAAUUUCUAGUGUAGCGGUAAAAUGCGUAGAUAUUAGAAGGAACACCAGUGGCGAAGGCGAUUUGCUGGGCCACCACUGACGGUCAGGGACGAAAGCGUGGGGAGCAAAUAGGAUUAGAUACCCUAGUAGUCCACGCCGUAAACGGAUGAGCAUUAAGUGUUCGGGCAACCGGUGCUGAAGUUAACACAUUAAGUGCUCCGCGUGAGUAGUACGGUCGCAAGGAUGAAACUCAAAGGAAUUGACGGGCACCCGCACAAGCGGUGGAGCAUGCUGUUUAAUUCGAAAAUACGCGAAGAACCUUACCUAGACUCGACAUCCCUGGCGAAGCUUUAGAAAUAAAGUGGAGGUUAACCGGGUGACAGGUGGUGCAUGGUUGUCGUCAGCUCGUGUCGUGAGAUGUUUGGUUAAGUCCAACAACGAGCGCAACCCUCGUCUUUAGUUGCUAACAUUAAGUUGAGAACUCUAAAGAUACUGCCGGUGCAAGCCGGAGGAAGGUGGGGAUGACGUCAAAUCAUCAUGCCCCUUACGUCUAGGGCUACAGGCGUGCUACAAUGGCUGGUACAACGAGUCGCAACACGGUGACGUGAAGCCAAUCUCUAAAAGCCAGUCCCAGUUCGGAUUGAAGUCUGCAACUCGACUUCAUGAAGUUGGAAUCGCUAGUAAUCGCGAAUCAGAAUGUCGUGGUGAAUACGUUCCUCGGGUGUUGUACACACCGCCCGUCA